GGCCGCCAAGAGGAUGGCCGGUCUGAAUCCUGAGUACCAGGCCGCGUUCAAGGCGUUCGACAGGGACAACAGCGGGA
rnacentral:SRP_RNA from 1 species